CACCAAAGCCCCAUAUACCCCCCACCACUGCGACCUGUAUGCUCUAAUCGGCUGGCCCUCACUACAUAUCUCAGCUCACUGGUCACGAUAACAACACCCACCCGUAGUACGCGCUCCAGCAGGUAUAUAUCACUGGUCAUCCCCGAAGCCAACACCUCUUUGGCCGCUUUUCCUUCCAGUUCUCUGCUGCCAAUGACUGGAACGAAUUGCAAAAAUCGCUGAAGCUGGAGACUUAUAUUUCCCUCACUAACUUUAAGCAUCAGCUAUCAGAGCAGCUAACCGAUCGCUGCAGCUGUACAUAGCCCAUCUGUAAAUAGCCCAUCCAAUCUACCUACCUCAUCCCCAUAUUGUUUUUAUUUAAUUUUCUGCUCUUUUGCACACCAGUAUUUCUACUUCCACAUCAUCAUCUGCACAUCUAUCACUCCAGUGUUAAUUUGCUAAAUUGUAAUUACUUGUUACUAUGCCCUAUUUAUUGCCUUACCUUCUCACGCCAUUUGCACACACUGUAUAUAGACUUUCUUUUUUUCUAUUGUGUUAUUGACUGUACGCUUGUUUAUUCCAUUUAUUCCAUAACUCUGUGUUGUUGUUUGUGUCGCCCUGCUUUGCUUUAUCUUGGCCAGGUCGCAGUUGUAAAUGAGAACUUGUUCUCAACUAACGUACCUGGUCAAAUAAAGGUGAAAUAAUAAUAUAUAUAUAUUUUUUAAAUCACUGCAUUAAAUCUCUGCAAGUCAUUCUAUUUGAUUUAUUUAUUGAACCUUUAUUUAACUGGGCAAGUCAGUUAAGAAUACAUUCUUAUUUACAAUGGCGGCCAACCAGGGAUAAGUGGGUUAACUGCCUUGUUCAGGGGCUGAACGACAGAUUUUUUACCUUGUCAGCUCGGGGAUUCAAUCCAGCAACAUUUCUACCCUUUCUAACCACUAGGCUAUCUGCCGCCUCUAUAACUCCAAGCUAUGUAUUUGAGGUAUAUGGUUAUUUUAUGACUUGGGGUUGUUGGUUAUUGUUUUAAUAGACGUUACAUUACAGAAAGAAAGCACACUGCACCCAAAGGAAAUAUCUUAAGUUGACCGAUUGUGGGAAGUAUUAUAGUAUGACUACUGUUAGCUCAAGGGACGAAGCACUCUUUACCUCUCCUCUAGUCACCUGCUACUUCAUAGCCCUUGAUGUGACCCUAGAGUCAUACAAUUUAAAGCUAAAACAAAUCUAUAGCUGUAAAGUAUGUUGUCCCCAGAUGAGCAGAGGUCAAACAGACAGGGCAAAUGUUCACUAAUGGCCUGCUACAACGCUGCUGCAGAUGCUAUACCAUCUAGCUACAACGCUGCUGCAGAUGCUAUACCAUCCAGCGUCUUCUUCAAAGGGUCAGACCAAAUGUCUAACCUCAACUUAUUUGUUUCAGGGUACCCUUAUGAAGUGUUCCACUACUCAUCUGAAAUUGGGGAUUUGGACAAAACGUUUUUCAAAGGGUGGUAUCAUUUAUUUAUUUAUUUUCCCGUGAAGGACCGUCCGCUUGUGCUGUUUGUCAAAGGAGAAACAGACCUAAUUGACUCUGAUAUUAUCAAUGAAGCAGGCAGUGAUGGUGUGAUAUUGUUCAGUAUCUACCUGCCACCAGACUUUCCCCAUGUCCUGCAGCCACUAACCAUGGAGUUCUUUGGGCUCUUCAAGUCUGAGUUUUUCAGGGAUGCUUGUGACAUCCCCCCCUCCUUAUAGGGACUUGGUCCUUGUGUUGAAGCAGACAUAGGAUGCUUUUGAAACUGAGAGGACUGUGAAGGAUGGGUUCGGGAGGACAGGUAUCUUUCUAUUUGACCACUAUGUCAUGGCUAGGUCCGUAUGGUGUGGGAGGGAAAGAUGAGGCCCGAGUUCGGUUCUGCUGGACCCUGUGAUGAUGGGCCAAAGGAAAAACGACCCGAACUUGUGACAGACAAGUGUGACAAACAGUUCUUAUGACAAUAAGAAGGCAUUAAAGGCAAGUUCUCUAUAAUAAUUACUUUGAGUCUCGGAAUAUCCCGUGAUUAAUUUACACAAAAUUAAUAUAACGUCAUGUCACCAUUGUAUUGGUACAUGUUGAUCUUAUGAUUUACAGGUGGAAUCUGACGCCAAACCGGUGUUGCCUGGGUCAUUUCUGCCAGUUUCUCUGCCAUCAGAGUCUGUUAAGAAAGGAGAUAUUAGAUGUGGUGGUUAAAAAAUAGGAGGAAAUUAAGGAGGAGUUGAAUGUUGUCAGACAUAUCUGCAAUAGACCCAAAUAUUUUGAACAAUGCCAAUAAUGAACAUUAGAUGAUAAUUAUCAAGGAAAAACUGUCAUGCUCCACUUUUCAUACUGUAUACCCACCCUGAUCACAAGAGCCAGCUAUAGUUCAAUUGAAGUGCGUUUGGCAUUUCUAUUAUGUUAGCAGUUUGUAAUUAGAAGUUUUACUUUGAAGCCUUCAUCAUUUUUCUGUUCUGACGACUUCAUUGCAGUAUUUUCCAAGAGAUCACAGCCAUGACUCCAUUGAGAGAUGGGAUGAGACUUCGGGCCCUGACGAUAUAUCGGAAGCGUCCCAGGAGAUAACAGAGGAAUCUUCAGACUUAUCAGACGGCCCUGAUGAAUCAAACAGAUUUAGAAUACGUUGACGAAGAAGAAGAGUAACCUGAAACUUCACAAGCUGUGAGAGGAAAAGCAUCUUCAAAGUCACUGCUGCCAGAGAAACAGUCACCUCAUGACUUGGUGGAUGAGUCUGGUGACAGCUCUGACGACGAGCCAUUGGUUAAGAUGAUCAGGAAGCUUCCAACAGACUGCCAGCUGAGCGAGAGAGUGAAGGCACUGCUGAAAUACACAGACAUGGCGGAUGUGACAAUGAAGCAAAUCUACAAUAGAGUAAGAGGACAUAUAUCCAACGGUGUUUGAGAGGUGCCCCCGGUAUGACCUGUCUAACAAGAAGGACAUCAUCAAGCAGACAGUGAAAGAAGGGAUUUCUUUACAACCCAGGGUUUUAAUCAAGCCAUAUUCAUAGCUUUGACAGAUAACAUUAUAAUCAAUGAUCUCAGGAAAACAUAGUUGAUAUCGUGACAAAGACUCGGGGAUUCCUGUAUAUGCCUUUCCAGGACUUUUCAUUUAUAUUUUAUACAUACAUGUUCAGACUGUUUAAAUACUAUACAAUUUCAUACAACUUAUUUGUUUUACUUGCCUAAGUUUUGUAUAUAAAGUAUUUAUUGUACUGUA